rnacentral:rRNA from 1 species
CUACGGGUUGCUGCAGUGGGGAAUAUUGGACAAUGGGGGAAACCCUGAUCCAGCAAUGCCGCGUGUGUGAAGAAGGCCUGCGGGUUGUAAAGCACUUUCGGUUGGGAGGGCUGCUUCUAGCACUAAUAUUGUUGGAAGUUGACGUUACCUUCAGAAGAAGCACCGGCUAACUCCGUGCCAGCAGCCGCGGUAAUACGGAGGGUGCAAGCGUUAAUCGGAAUUACUGGGCGUAAAGCGCGCGUAGGCGGCUAGAUCAGUCGGGUGUGAAAGCCCCGGGCUUAACCUGGGAACUGCAUCCGAUACUGUCGAGCUUGAGUACAGGAGAGGAGAGUGGAAUUCCACAUGUAGCGGUGAAAUGCGUAGAUAUGUGGAGGAACACCAAUGGCGAAGGCAGCUCUCUGGCCUGAUACUGACGCCGAGGUGCGAAAGCGUGGGGAGCAAACAGGAUUAGAUACCCUCGUAGUC